UUGAACGCUGGCGGCGGCCUAACACAUGCAAGUCGGGCGGAGUGGCGAACGGGUGAGUAACGCGUGAGCAACCUGCCUAUGACAGUGGGAUAGCCUCGGGAAACCGGGAUUAAUACCGCAUAGUCAUAGAUGGGCUCGCGUCUGAUUAGCUAGUUGGUGAGAUAACAGCCCACCAAGGCGACGAUCAGUAGCCGGUCUGAGAGGAGGAACGGCCACAUUGGAACUGAGACACGGUCCAAACUCCUACGGGAGGCAGCAGUGGGGAAUAUUGCACAAUGGGGGAAACCCUGAUGCAGCGACGCCGCGUGAACGAAGAAGGUAUUCGUAUCGUAAAGGUCUGUCCUAUGGGAAGCAGUACCAUAGAAGAAAGCUCCGGCUAAAUACGUGCCAGCAGCCGCGGUAAUAC
rnacentral:rRNA from 1 species